AAUGUUUUAUAAAGUAUUAAGUCGUAAUAUAAUCGUCACUAUUAUUUAUACGAGACAACACUAAAAUACCCUGUUCAUGUAAUCAACAAUGCUAUCUUUUUAAUAUUUAUUAGUAUAUUCUUUUUUUAUUUCAAAUAGUCACCACUUCUAUCCAUAGAAAUGGUACAUUUUAACUUGUUUCAUUAUACAUUAUAUUCUUACAAGGACAUGAUCCUUUUUGAAUAAAAACUUAGAUAAACAUUUAAGAGAAAUAGUCAAAAAACUCACUCUGUUUAACUACAUUGUAGUGCAUGCGGUUCGGUCAUAAAUCAAUUAAUAAUUACUUUUAAAAAUCCUUCCUCACCAAAAGAAUAUCUAUAUAUUAUUUUUGUCAUCUUUGUUAUUCUACUAUUAAUAGUUAUAUGCAUUGUAUCAAUUUUCGUCUUGCUUGUAAAAAAACAUGUUAAUGUUAUAUAUGUAAAUGUCAAAAUAAUUUAUGUUCUAUUCAUCUGUAUUAAUCUCUAUGUUUCAUGCUUAUUUAUCAAUAAACAAUUAUACUAAAAAUUCGACAGUGACGAUUUUUGGGGGUAAAAAAAUAUUAUAAAAAGCCAGAGCAAACCCUUGCUCCCGGCUGUUCAUUUCAUGUUCCGUAUUGGGCUGUUCUUUUCGUGGUCCGCAUUAAGUUGUGCGAACGUCUUGAUCGUCAUUGUCGAAAUUUUAUGUGUAAUUUGUGAACUAUAAAUCUGAACUUGUGUAUUUUAUUUAUCAUCUUCAUCGAUAUCAGCACUAAGGAUAAUUAUAAGAACCAGAGAAUUUACCAGGUUUUAGAGAGGCGUAGAGUCCGAGGGUUCUGAACAAUUAGACUAGUAGAUAUAAAGAGGAGCAAUUGAUGGUCUUUUUCCUUAAGAUGCAAGAGGUAAACCAAAUAGUCGGCACCUUUAGUAUAACACUGAGGCAACGAAGCGGAGAUGGCGACCCAUGAAUACCUUGAGAUCAUAUUGGUAAUAUUCUAUGAGCUUCACUGACGAAAAUGAUGGUUGAUAUUUCUAAAAGGGACUCAGUCUAUUAAAAAACGCCGGAUUCGAAAUAGCCAAACUGAAGUCUGGGUUAUAUUACAACCUUGAUGAAGUGAGAACAAAAACAAGCCUUUAUAUCAAUUUUAGUUGUGUACAUAGUUAUACAGACUUGUAUUGUACCGUAUAAAAAUAUUAUUGUCAUUAGUGCUUUAAUGCAUAUUAGUUUAUUGUAUUAAAUUGAACACUAGGUGAUUAUUACUUCAAGAUAAGAUGUUUGGUUAACAAUUAUCAAUUUGACAUAUUUUAAGUGUCUUAGAUCUCACUAAUAAUUCUAAUAACUUUUGAUCCAAAUAUA